UCUGUCCUGAGAUAAAGAGAGAAGACGACGUGCUGCUCCACAAGAUGUCUGGACGUUUCUGCUCCUCAGAAGCUCCGCAUCUCUCUGUCGUGUCUGGGCCCGCUCAUCGGUUCAGUCGGGGUUGGAUCAUCACCCCGGCUGACCCCCUCCACCCCAACCCACCCUCCCACCUCGUCACCCUCCCUCCUACCGGGAAUUAAGGAUCCUGAGCCGAUGUUAGAUGAGGUCAUGCACUCCACAAAAGCCUGUGUGUACAGCUAUCAUGGUGGCUAAUGUCGUCCUUAUUUGCCCUGGUACAGAGACGGUUGACCUCACUAUGUCAGGAAAAAGAAGCCAACUGAUGUGUCACUACACCUGUGACCAAAAAUAUUAUAUAACUCUUUAAGUCAAAUGAGGAAUGUAAAGAUACCUGUACACAGGGAGUGAGUCCCUUGAAUGCCACUUGAUAGUGUGAAUAGAAAAGGGCGCUGUUAUGUAAUACGUACAGAGAGAGAGAGAGAGAGAGAGAGAGAGAGAGAGAGAGAGAGAGAGAGAGAGAGAGAGAGAGAGAGAGAGAGCAUUUGAGGACUGCUUGGUGCUGAAAGUUCAAUCGGGGUGAAAGCAGAGAAAAAAGGCACAUUGUUCCCUAAGCGAUCUGUUGGACAGUGAAGCUUCCUCCCUGCACAUGGAAACACUUCACACUGGACUUCUUUGUAUCUGUAUCAGACUCUCUGCUUUUUAUUCUUAAACAAGCCAACAGCUAACAGCUAACAGUUUCUCAUUGUUUUAUUUAUACAGAUCUUUUUGGGACAAUUUCAUAACAACAUUGUCACUGUGACCUGAGCAGAUUAGAUCAUACAUCUUGGUGAAAAGCAAACUUUACUGCAUCAGCUGAGAGAGCUAAGAUGAAGCAAUUGAUUUCAGCUCCUUCAUGUUUUCAUCAAAGUUAACCUCAUUUUGGAAAUUACUGCUCAAGAUAUUCUAUUAGCAAAGAAUCACAUGGUUACACUGCAA